GUCGUUGUAGUAUAGUGGUGAGUAUCCCCGCUUGUCACGCGGGAGACCCGGGUUCGAUCCCCGGCAACGGCG
rnacentral:tRNA from 1 species